rnacentral:rRNA from 1 species
CCCGGGAGGCAGCAGUGGGGAAUAUUGCACAAUGGGGGAAACCCUGAUGCAGCGACGCCGCGUGAGUGAAGAAGUAUUUCGGUAUGUAAAGCUCUAUCAGCAGGGAAGAAAAUGACGGUACCUGACUAAGAAGCCCCGGCUAACUACGUGCCAGCAGCCGCGGUAAUACGUAGGGGGCAAGCGUUAUCCGGAUUUACUGGGUGUAAAGGGAGCGUAGACGGUGAUGCAAGUCAGAAGUGAAAGCCCGGGGCUCAACUCCGGGACUGCUUUUGAAACUGUGUGACUGGAGUGCAGGAGAGGUAAGCGGAAUUCCUGGUGUAGCGGUGAAAUGCGUAGAUAUCAGGAGGAACACCAGUGGCGAAGGCGGCUUACUGGACUGUAACUGACGUUGAGGCUCGAAAGCGUGGGGAGCAAACAGGAUUAGAUACCCGUGUAGUC